rnacentral:rRNA from 1 species
GGCAGGCCUAACACAUGCAAGUCGAGCGCAGUCCUUCGGGACCGAGCGGCGGACGGGUUAGUAACGCGUGGGAACAUACCCUUUUCUACGGAAUAGCCUCGGGAAACUGAGAGUAAUACCGUAUAAGCCCUUCGGGGGAAAGAUUUAUCGGGAAAGGAUUGGCCCGCGUUAGAUUAGAUAGUUGGUGGGGUAAUGGCCUACCAAGUCUACGAUCUAUAGCUGGUUUUAGAGGAUGAUCAGCAACACUGGGACUGAGACACGGCCCAGACUCCUACGGGAGGCAGCAGUGGGGAAUCUUAGACAAUGGGCGCAAGCCUGAUCUAGCCAUGCCGCGUGUGUGAUGAAGGUCUUAGGAUCGUAAAGCACUUUCGCCAGGGAUGAUAAUGACAGUACCUGGUAAAGAAACCCCGGCUAACUCCGUGCCAGCAGCCGCGGUAAUACGGAGGGGGUUAGCGUUGUUCGGAAUUACUGGGCGUAAAGCGUACGUAGGCGGAUCAGAAAGUAGGGGGUGAAAUCCCAGGGCUCAACCCUGGAACUGCCUCCUAAACUCCUGGUCUUGAGUUCGAGAGAGGUGAGUGGAAUUCCAAGUGUAGAGGUGAAAUUCGUAGAUAUUUGGAGGAACACCAGUGGCGAAGGCGGCUCACUGGCUCGAUACUGACGCUGAGGUACGAAAGUGUGGGGAGCAAACAGGAUUAGAUACCCUGGUAGUCCACACCGUAAACGAUGAAUGCCAGUCGUCGGGCAGUAUACUGUUCGGUGACACACCUAACGGAUUAAGCAUCC